rnacentral:rRNA from 1 species
GAUGAACGCUGGCGGCGUGCCUAAUACAUGCAAGUCGAGCGAACAGACGAGGAGCUUGCCCCUCUGACGUUAGCGGCGGACGGGUGAGUAACACGUGGAUAACCUACCUAUAAGACUGGGAUAACUUCGGGAAACCGGAGCUAAUACCGGAUAAUAUAUUGAACCGCAUGGUUCAAUAGUGAAAGACGGUUUUGCUGUCACUUAUAGAUGGAUCCGCGCCGCAUUAGCUAGUUGGUAAGGUAACGGCUUACCAAGGCAACGAUGCGUAGCCGACCUGAGAGGGUGAUCGGCCACACUGGAACUGAGACACGGUCCAGACUCCUAAGGGAGGCAGCAGUAGGGAAUCUUCCGCAAUGGGCGAAAGCUUGACGGAGCAACGCCGCGUGAGUGAUGAAGGUCUUCGGAUCGUAAAACUCUGUUAUUAGGGAAGAACAAAUGUGUAAGUAACUAUGCACGUCUUGACGGUACCUAAUCAGAAAGCCACGGCUAACUACGUG